rnacentral:rRNA from 1 species
GCCCUUCCUACGGGAGGCAGCAGUGAGGAAUAUUGGACAAUGGAGGCAACUCUGAUCCAGCCAUGCCGCGUGCAGGAUGACUGCCUUAUGGGUUGUAAACUGCUUUUAUAGAGGAAGAGCUUCUCCAACGUGUUGGGGAUCGACGGUACUCUACGAAUAAGGAUCGGCUAACUUCGUGCCAGCAGCCGCGGUAAUACGAAGGAUCCAAGCGUUAUCCGGAAUUAUUGGGUUUAAAGGGUCCGCAGGCGGGCUAAUUAGUCAGCGGUGAAAUCUUUCGGCUUAACCGGGAGCUUGCCGUUGAAACUGUUAGUCUAGAGUAGUUGUGUUGUGGUUGGAACGUGCAGUGUAGUGGUGAAAUACAUAGAUAUUGCGCAGAACACCGAUUGUGAAGACAGAUCACAAACAAUUUACUGACGCUGAUGGACGAAAGCGUGGGGAGCAAACAGGAUUAGAUACCCUGGUAGUCCACGCCGUAAACGAUGGUCACUAGUUGUCCGGUCUAAUUGAGGACUGGGUGAUUGAGCGAAAGUAUUAAGUGACCCACCUGGGGAGUACGUUCGCAAGAAUGAAACUCAAAGGAAUUGACGGAAGGGC